AAUUUGAAAUCUGGCGUCUUUGGCGUCCGAGUUGUAAUUUGAAGAAGGUAUCUUUGGGCCCGGCUCUUGUCUAUGUUCCUUGGAACAGGACGUCACAGAGGGUGAGAAUCCCGUGCGAUGAGAUGGCCCGGGUCUAUGUAAAGUUCCUUCGACGAGUCGAGUUGUUUGGGAAUGCAGCUCUAAGUGGGUGGUAAAUUCCAUCUAAAGCUAAAUAUUGGCGAGAGACCGAUAGCGAACAAGUACAGUGAUGGAAAGAUGAAAAGAACUUUGAAAAGAGAGUGAAAAAGUACGUGAAAUGUUGAAAGGGAAGGGCUUGAGAUCAGACUUGGUAUUUUGCAAGUUACUCUUUCGGGGGUGGCCUCUGCGGUUUACCGGGCCAGCAUCGGUUUGGAGCGGUAGGAUAAUGGCGGGGGAAUGUGGCACGACUUUGGUUGUGUGUUAUAGCCUCUGACGAUACUGCCAGCCUAGACCGAGGACUGCGGUUUUUACCUAGGAUGUUGGCAUAAUGAUCUUAAC
rnacentral:rRNA from 1 species